GCUUCGACGUCCUUGAUCCAGUCAUUAUGAGUUUGAUUGUUGCAAGAGAGACUCAGCAUCUUCACUCCACGCUCCUCAAAUUUCUUGGUGUAAGCUGCAAUCUUGCCCAAUUCUGUAGUGCACUGAAAUCCCCAGGAUGCCAGAA